GACGAACGCUGGCGGCGUGCUUAACACAUGCAAGUCGAACGAUGAAGCCGGAGCUUGCUCUGGUGAAUUAGUGGCGAACGGGUGAGUAACACGUGAGUAACCUGCCCUUGACUCUGGGAUAACUGCGGGAAACUGUAGCUAAUACCGGAUACGACCCUCGGAGGCAUCUCCUGGGGGUGGAAAGAAUUUCGGUCAAGGAUGGACUCGCGGCCUAUCAGCUAGUUGGUGAGGUAAAGGCUCACCAAGGCGACGACGGGUAGCCGGCCUGAGAGGGUGACCGGCCACACGGGGACGGAGACACGGCCCAGACUCCUACGGGAGGCAGCAGUGGGGAAUAUUGCACAAUGGGCGCAAGCCUGAUGCAGCAACGCCGCGUGAGGGAUGACGGCCUUCGGGUUGUAAACCUCUUUUAGCAGGGAAGAAGCGAAAGUGACGGUACCUGCAGAAUAAGCACCGGCUAACUACGUGCCAGCCGCCGCCGUAA
rnacentral:rRNA from 1 species